rnacentral:tRNA from 1 species
GGAGGGGUGUCCGAGUGGUUGAAGGAGACCGUCUUGAAAACGGUUGGUUGCUGAAAGGUGACCCGUGGGUUCGAAUCCCACCCCCUCCGCCA